rnacentral:rRNA from 1 species
AUUGAACGCUGGCGGCAGGCCUAACACAUGCAAGUCGAGCGGCAGCACGGGGCUUGUUGCUGGCUGCAGCGGCGGACGGGUGAGUGAUGCCUAGGAAUCUGCCUGGUCGCGGGGGAUAGGGUUAGCAAACGGGAGCUGAUACUGCAUCCGCCCAGAGGGUGCAAGUGGGGGCUCUUGGGAUUCGGAGCUUGCAGAUGAGCAUAGGCCGGAUUAGCUAGUUGGGGGGGUAAAGGCCCACCAAGGCGACGACCCGUAACUGGUCUGAGAGGAUGAUCAGUCACACUGGGACUGAGACCAGGCCCCGACUCCUAAGGGAGGCCGCAGUGGGGAAUAUUUGACCAUGGGGCGAAGGCUUGUCCAGGCCUGCCGGGUGUGUGAAGAAGGCCUUCCGGUUGGUAAAGCAUUUUGUGGGGAGAGAAAGGCAGCCAGUUUAAACCCGGUUUUUAUGAAGGUACCCAAAGAAUAAGCCCCCGCUAACUUCGUG